rnacentral:rRNA from 1 species
UACAGAGGUGGCAAGCGUUGUUCGGAAUUACUGGGCGUAAAGGGCGCGUAGGCGGCCUACUAAGUCAGACGUGAAAUCCCCCGGCUUAACCUGGGAACUGCGUCUGAUACUGGAAGGCUUGAGGAUGGGAGAGGGAUGUAGAAUUCCAGGUGUAGCGGUGAAAUGCGUAGAUAUCUGGAGGAACACCGGUGGCGAAGGCGGCUAUCUGGCCCAACAUUGACACUGAAGCACGAAAGCGUGGGGAUCAAACAGG